GCUCCGGGAUACUGAGGGCGGAGGGCGGUGGCAGCGCUGGCGCUGGGGACCGGCUUGGUGGCUUCGGGAAACAGUUUGGCGCCGGCGGCCGUCCGUGUUACUCCGCAUCCCGCCCCGUCUCGGCACGGCUAGCAGCCCCCUGGCCACCAGCGUCCAGCAAUGUGUCUCACCGGCCGGGCGUAGCAGCUGCGCGUGCGCGGAACCGCGGGGCCAUGAGCGAAGCCGGCGGCCGGGGCUGUGGGUCCCCGGUUCCCCAGCGAGCGCGAUGGAGACUAGUGGCGGCGACGGCCGCGUUCUGCCUGGUGUCGGCCACCUCCGUGUGGACGGCGGGGGCCGAGCCCAUGAGUAGGGAGGAGAAACAGAAGCUUGGGAAUCAAGUACUGGAAAUGUUUGAUCAUGCUUAUGGUAACUAUAUGGAACAUGCUUACCCUGCUGAUGAACUCAUGCCUUUAACCUGUAGAGGUCGAGUUAGAGGCCAAGAGCCAAGUCGCGGUGACGUUGAUGAUGCCUUGGGAAAAUUUUCUCUGACACUGAUUGAUUCUUUGGACACUCUUGUGGUUUUAAAUAAAACUAAAGAAUUUGAAGAUGCAGUGAGAAAAGUUUUAAGAGAUGUUAAUUUAGAUAACGAUGUAGUCGUAUCAGUCUUUGAAACAAACAUCAGAGUUCUUGGGGGUCUUUUGGGUGGGCACUCCCUGGCAAUCAUGCUGAAAGAAAAAGGUGAAUAUAUGCAGUGGUACAAUGAUGAACUUCUCCAAAUGGCAAAGCAGUUAGGUUACAAACUUUUACCGGCUUUCAACACUACCAGUGGCCUUCCUUAUCCAAGAAUUAAUUUAAAGUUUGGCAUCAGAAAACCAGAAGCUCGGACAGGAACUGAGACAGAUACCUGUACAGCUUGUGCAGGUACCUUGAUCCUUGAAUUUGCUGCUUUAAGUCGAUUCACAGGAGCAACAAUAUUUGAGGAAUAUGCCAGAAAAGCUCUUGAUUUUCUCUGGGAAAAAAGACAGCGAAGUAGUAAUUUAGUGGGCGUGACUAUAAAUAUUCAUACUGGAGAUUGGGUACGAAAAGAUAGUGGAGUUGGAGCAGGGAUUGAUUCAUAUUAUGAAUAUCUGUUGAAAGCCUAUGUCUUGCUUGGAGAUGACAGUUUUCUGGAAAGAUUUAACACACACUAUGAUGCCAUAAUGAGGUAUAUUAGCCAGCCACCUCUUCUACUUGAUGUGCAUAUCCACAAACCAAUGCUGAAUGCUCGGACUUGGAUGGAUGCUUUGCUUGCCUUCUUCCCAGGCUUGCAGGUGUUAAAGGGGGAUAUUAGACCUGCUAUUGAAACUCAUGAAAUGUUAUAUCAGGUGAUUAAAAAACACAAUUUUCUACCAGAGGCAUUUACCACAGAUUUCAGAGUACACUGGGCUCAACAUCCUUUAAGGCCAGAAUUUGCAGAAAGUACCUACUUCUUAUAUAAAGCUACAGGAGAUCCUUACUACCUUGAAGUAGGGAAGACACUUAUUGAAAAUUUAAAUAAAUAUGCUAGAGUGCCUUGCGGAUUUGCUGCCAUGAAGGAUGUUCGUACUGGAAGUCAUGAGGACAGAAUGGAUUCUUUCUUCUUGGCUGAAAUGUUUAAAUAUCUUUACCUGUUAUUUGCUGAUAAAGAAGACAUUAUUUUUGACAUAGAAGAUUACAUCUUUACAACAGAAGCUCAUCUGUUACCUCUUUGGCUCUCUACUACAAAUCAAAGCAUCUCUAAAAAGAACACAACCUCGGAAUAUACAGAACUGGAUGACAGUAACUUCGAUUGGACUUGUCCAAAUACUCAGAUCCUCUUUCCUAAUGACCCAUUGUAUGCUCAAAGUAUUCGUGAGCCCUUGAAAAAUGUGGUGGAUAAGAGCUGUCCUAGAGGCAUCAUCAGAGUAGAGGAGAGUUUCAGGAGUGGAGCUAAACCCCCUCUGAGAGCCAGAGAUUUCAUGGCCACUAACCCUGAGCAUUUAGAAAUCCUGAAGAAGAUGGGGGUGAGUUUGAUUCACCUCAAAGAUGGGAGAGUCCAGUUGGUCCAACAUGCAAUCCAAGCUGCUAGUUCAAUCGACGCUGAAGAUGGGUUGAGGUUCAUGCAGGAGAUGAUUGAAUUGUCAAGUCAGCAACAAAAAGAACAGCAGCUGCCUCCACGAGCUGUACAAAUUGUUUCCCACCCAUUUUUUGGCAGGGUAGUAUUGACUGCUGGACCAGCUCAGUUUGGGCUGGAUCUGUCUAAACAUAAAGAGUUGCUUUUAUUUCUGACAGACAAGAGGAUUUGUUGCAAGCAGUAAACCAUCCAAUGGUUGUUCAGAGCUUACUAACCCAGAGGCAGUGAUGGGAAAAAUCGCACUGAUACAAAGAGGACAGUGCAUGUUUGCAGAAAAGGCACGCAACAUCCAGAAUGCUGGAGCCAUUGGUGGCAUUGUUAUUGAUGACAAUGAGGGGAGCAGCAGUGAUACUGCCCCUCUGUUCCAGAUGGCAGGUGAUGGAAAGGAUACAGAUGACAUCAAGAUCCCCAUGCUGUUCUUAUUCAGCAAAGAAGGAAGUAUCAUACUGGAUGCCAUCCGGGAAUAUGAGGAGGUAGAAGUGCUCCUCUCUGAUAAAGCAAAAGAUCGAGCAGCAAUAUUAAAAGGUAAAAUGAUUCCAAGCUACAUUAUUAAUAGUAAUCCUGAAAUGGAAAAUGAAGAACAACCAUCCUCUGAAAAUGAUUCUCAGAAUCAGAGUGGUGAACAGAUUUCAUCAAGUUCUCAGGAGGUUGAUUUGGUUGAUCAAGAGUCUUCUGAGGAAAAUUCUCUAAAUUCUCACCCAGAAUCAUUAUCUCUAGCAGAUAUGGACAAUGCUGCAAGCAUUUCCCCUUCUGAACAGACUUCUAAUCCCACAGAAAACCAUGAGACUACAAAUCUUAAUGGUGAAUGUACAGAUUUAGAUAACCAGCUUCAAGAACAAUCAGAAACUGAGGAAGAUUCCAAUCCUAAUGUUAGCUGGGGUAAAAAGGUCCAGCCUAUAGACUCCAUAUUAGCAGACUGGAAUGAAGAUAUAGAAGCAUUUGAAAUGAUGGAGAAGGAUGAGCUAUGACUUGCUAAACAAUCUGUUGGUAGGUAUUUAAAAAGAAAAGGUAAACUGUGUGUGGUUAAUAGACAUCCUAAUACUAAGCAGGCUUUCUAAUGGGAGGCUUUAAGUAUGGUGAUGAACAACCACGUUCUGACUGGCGUAGUUAUCGUAGGAAUCUGGAGCAUGCUGUGUUAGAAUUGACCUUGUUUAAAACUGUCCCAUCAAAAAUGGAAAUCCACAGUUCCCCCUUCAAAUGCAGCACUGCACCACCCUGCAACACCUCAGGCCAGGGAAAGAUUACUGAGCAUUCCUGCGAACCAGAUUUCUGUUGUCUCUGGAUAGACAAGAAACAAAAUUCAUUUAGUAGUGGAGUGGGGAAUAGGAGUUUGGAUAGCCUUCUAAUUAAAGGAAGCUCGCCUUUCUUGGUUUUGGGGGUUAGAGGCUCUUUUGGGAAGAUGCAUCCGAGUAUUGUGGCAUUCUGAUUAUGCUGCCUUCACAAAACACUCUAAGUGACCUAAGUGGUUAUGAAGCAAAUGCAUUUAUGGUGAAAACAGUCUUUGCUCAUUGCUUUCUCUUGUUUCAUUUAGUGACAAAUGAUCAAGAUGACUUGAUUUUUUUUCCUUCUUAACAAUGUCUUUUUUAUUUAAACCAAAGGUGAAGCCAGUGUACUUUCUCAGUGAGUUCUCUGCAUAAAGACUAAUCAGUGGGACCAGGUAAAAAGGUCAUAUAAUACAUUGUGGAGAUUGCUUACUUAAUACUUCUGAAAAAUGGAGUAAGGGAGAAACUGUAAUGUUGCAAUAUGAACCUCCCAUUGGGCCUUCCAUAGGGAAAGCUGUGACUACUCUGAAAUGGAACCUAGCAUUAUAUCCUUGUAGGGUAGAUUAUAAAUCAUUUCCAGUUCAUUUCUCUUAGAGGUGAUUACCUCUAGCCAUCAGCCUUACUCCAUCCCAUGUUUGGUAUGCAAUUUGAGCCACAAGGCUCGUAUCGCCAACAGCUAUAUACAUUUUGUUCCAUUUUUCUGUCUUACAGAGCCAUGAUAGAACUGUGGUUAGUGAGUUAAAAUUCCUGGAGUAACUACUGUUUUUCUCCUUUGAAACUUAGGUUUCUAAAGUUGCACCUAAGGAAUCUGUCACAUUUUCUGUUGAAUCAUGGUUUUUGUUUUUGUUUUUAACAGAUAUUCCUUCUGAUACGGACUUGAAAAUUAGUGUAUGGUGACCUGUGUUUAAAAAAAAAAGUACAAUACAACUACAUAUAGCUAUAUAGCUUAAUGAGACUUCCACCCCCCCCCUUUUUUUUUUUGGUUUGUUGUUGUUGUAGUAGUCUGGUGCUGGCCACAUUUAAGUCUUAAAAAUUUUUAAAUUUUGUUGUUGAUGUUUGUAGACAGCCCUGUUGUUGAAAUCAUGGCUUUAUUCAUUUUAUUUAUUUUUUAAACUUGCCUGAAUUUGUUCUAAAGGAAUAUUUAAGAGACAUAAUUUUCUUCUCUUUACCAUAACAUUACACAAAACUUUUUCCUAAAACACGGUUGUGAGGUACUGAUGAGGUGUAAGUGGAGCUGUUAAAAACAGCAGUGCUGUAUUGCAGUUAUGUAUAUUCGUGUACAGUAUGUUUAGAUCCCAGGUAAACAUAUUCUUUUCUGAGAGGAUAAAUACCUGCAUUCAGAUAUUCCAGGUAAAUAUAAUUGAGUCAGGGAGUAGUAAAUCUGAUGGAGAAUUCACUUUGGGGAGGGGAAAAAGAAUAGUAUGCAAGACCCUUAUUGGCUUUUAAUUAUACCUGAAACCAAAAUGGAUAUUUUUAGUCUCUCUGCAUGUGAGAUUUGGUGUAACAAGAUAGAACUAUAAUAUAUACAGUAUAUGGAAGGAUAGAUAUAGUGCUUUGUUCAUUUUAAUUGCAAAGCUGCCAAAAUAGUUGAAGCUUAAUUACUUGACUUGCCUUGAUUUAUAGGACUGGGGCUUGGAGAAAAUGAGCAGAUGUUCCUCUAAGACAUCGAUUACAGAAGCCUUAUAUACAUGGAUUUGAUUUUGUAUUUGUAGCUGAAAGUCACUGUUGUCUAAAACUAACUUUUCUAAGUUAUCAAAACAACCUAAUUUCUUUUCCAACAAGGAGAACUUAAUGGCAUGAAGGAUUGUGUGACACAUUGGAAAAGCCAGCUUACUGCCACUCUCUUCCUUUGGCCAUUAGAGGGAGGUGUUGCCUUUCAUUGACGCUUAGAAGCAAAUUGUUCACUUGUUAAGAAAAGUAAAUCCUUAAAAAAAGAAAAGGAAAAAAUUUAACCAAUUUUUCUUAAUACCCAGAAGGAAUUAUACUCAAUAUUUCCCUAGUUAAGAAAAGAGGAGAUAAUGUUCGUCUAAAAAACUCCAACGUUGUAAUUACAACUCUACAUUCAUUUACUUACUUGACAUACUGCCACAAAGUAGUUUUUGAGUUCAUUAAAAAUUCCAAAGGCAUUAGUUGUUUUUUUUUUUUUUAGUGUUUUGUUUUUUAGUUAACUUUUAUAGACAUUUUAGUAACUUGCUAAAGAUUCAGGGGAUUCUAUGAAACCCCGAAUUUAGAAACAUCUGGUCUACCUCAGUUAAAUGUUGACUGCUUAGAAAUAUAGCUGAAGUGAUCACCACAGCCAUAAAAUUGUUUAAGAAAGAUUUAUAUAAUGUUUACAAAUCUGGAAUCAAGGAUUUUAGCUGAAAUCCUUUAAGAGAUAUUAGAGCAAGUAUUUAAUUCAGGUAUUUUCAAGUUUUAAAACUUAACCUGUUUACCUACUAAAAAUAAAAUAGCUAGUUUUUUUCUGCAUAUAAAAGUUCAUUGAAAUGAUAUGCCCUUAUUUGCAAUACUUUUCCCAUAAAGUUUUAAGUGUGAAAGAAUUGUAAUUUACUAGAUAUGUUUGGUAUGGGAUAUUUUGUUAGGCAAGUUUUCUUUUUUCUUCUUAAAUUGCAAUAGGCUUCCAAAAAGAGUAUAAUUGUUUCAGAACAAAUUAACUCUUGGCAUUAUACGUCUCCCUUUUUCUUUACAGUAUUAGUAAAAAGAAAAAUUGUACACUUUCUGAUUUUAACUUCACUAAUGUAAUUACUCUCUCAAGAAGCUUUUAAAAUUUAAAUUACCAUCACACAACCUUUUUUAUAGUAAAGCCAACAUUUGUUCUCUCACCAAACCCCAUGCCAAAUUCAUCAUGAAGAAAGCUCAGCAUAAGUAAUUCAAAUACUGCUUAUAAUUUUAGAGGGGGGUAGAAUUUAGUAAAUAUUCCAGCCGGUCGUUUUAUGCACAAGGCUUCAGUCAGAACAUAGAAAAAAAAAACAUUCUGUGAAUGAAAUAUUGUAUGUUCAGAUUUUAUAAAAGACAUUUUUAAAAGCCCAAUUUACAGCCGUAUAUUUUCUUAUGAUGUAAUUUAUGAAAAAGAUGUCUGUACUAACAGGUGCUGUAACACUACUGUUGUUGGAUUUUAUUGUUUGGUGAUAAAUGUAUACAAUAUUUCUAAGGGAAACUAUGUACUGUGAUGUAAAAGUCUGGGCAAAAUGUAUAUAAUCCUGUAUAUAAUUAUGUAUUUGAUUAUAAUUACUGAUUGUAAAGAUUUAAUAAAAUAUGUAAAUAUUCCAGUUUAGUUUUAAUUUGAAUUUUUAGAAUCACUGUGCAUAUCCUCAUACUUUUAUGUCUUGAUGUUUAUCACUCUGUUUUCCUUUUUUUUUUAAACUCAUUUUAUCCUCCGGGGAUUGAAUUCUGGGGACAUUUUAGGCUGUAGAAACCCAAGCUUGUGGGCUAAAGUAAGGAUUUUGUUCUAAGAAAUCACUGAAAGUUUUUCAACAAGUCAGUAGCAUGCACAAAGGUAAUGCUAAGUGAAUAAAACUCUAGAAUUGUGUAUAAA